rnacentral:rRNA from 1 species
GCCGUUCUUUGUAACGGAACUUAGAGACAGGUGCUGCAUGGCUGUCGUCAGCUCGUGCCGUGAGGUGUGGGUUAAGUCCCGCAACGAGCGCAACCCUACUUUUAGUUGCCAUCAGGUUAAGCUGGGCACUCUAAAGAGACUGCCGUCGAUAAGGCGGAGGAAGGUGGGGACGACGUCAAGUCAUCAUGGCCCUUAUGUCUAGGGCUACACACGUGCUACAAUGGGUUAUACAGAGGGCAGCUAGCUCGCGAGAGUCUGCGAAUCCCUUAAAGUAAUCCUCAGUUCGGAUUGUAGUCUGCAACUCGACUACAUGAAGUUGGAAUCGCUAGUAAUCGCAGGUCAGCAAAACUGCGGUGAAUACGUUCCCGGGCCUU